rnacentral:lncRNA from 10 species
GCCUUCAGUAGUCUUCCUGGAGAGAGAGGCUCUUAAGAAACAGGGCAGCAGACAGGCAGGCAAUCUUAUGAAUACAACGUGGAAGAGGGAAGGCAAGGCACGACCACCCCAGAUUUUGGAAGCAGUCUGUGAACAUAUCUGGGUCUGUGUUAUUCAGCAGCCCAUUGCUGACUUCACUUAUAGGAUUCUAGAGCUUUUCAUUCCCUGUGGGAAUGGAGACCUUUUGGGUUUAGAUUAGAUCAUUGGAUUUGGAAGUGUGGGGAGAAGCUGACUCAGCUGUCCUUGCUCAGGCUGUCUCUCUGCCAUCUUCUCCUCAAGCCACUUGGACUCCCUCAUUACCGCCCCAUGGGGAUUCCUCCUCUCACUGUGUGUCAGCCUCAAAGAGAAAAUGAUUCAGCAGGGACUUGGGUUCCUGUACUGCUAGGUGCUUCUCCAUAUGGUCUAACGAUUCCUUGCCUCGGAGGAUCCACCUCAGACACGUCAGGACACCAGACACCAGAACCUGGGAGGAGGACAAAGCAAGAAGGCAC